rnacentral:rRNA from 1 species
UACGGGGGGGAGCAAGCGUUUGUUCGGAUUUACUGGGCGUAAAGGGCGCGUAGGCGGCCACCGCAAGUCGACUGUGAAAUCUCCGGGCUUAACCCGGAAAGGUCAGCCGAUACUGCGGGGCUAGAGUGCAGGAAGGGGCAACUGGAAUUCUCGGUGUAGCGGUGAAAUGCGUAGAUAUCGAGAGGAACACCUGCGGCGAAGGCGGGUUGCUGGGCUGACACUGA